rnacentral:rRNA from 1 species
GCUACUUGCACUAUCUACGGAUGCAGUGAUGAAGAUGAGUUUCAUGCUGUUGUGGAGUGCACAAAAAGCAGAGCAUUACGAGAUGCACUCAGAGAAAGUUGGGAGAUACCUCCAGAGCAUGCAUUCCGGCGUACUGGCCCUGAUUGGCUUCAGCUGUUGUUGAUUUCUGAAACUGAAGAAAUGAGAGCGAGGGUACUUAUGUUAUUUUGGAGGUGCUGGCACCUUCGCGAUGAUGUGGUGCAUGGGAAAGGAAAGGAACCUAUCAAACAAUUAGUCCUGUUCCUGUUGCAGUACGAGGAAGACUUGAGAAAUGCAGCGAUUAACUUUCUGUCUGACCUGGGAAAGGGGCCUGUGACCAUGGCCAACCAAAUGCCCAAACAGCCAGAUCAGAGGUGCAUUCAGUGGACUGCUCCUCCACUUGGAUCUAUCAAACUAAAUUCAGAUGCGUCCUACUGUCCAGACAGAGGUGAAUGCUGGGCGGGUGUCGUCGCCAGAGAUCACAGUGGUCAGGUUGUUCUGUCAGUUGGGAAACAGAUGCAGGCAUCGAGCAAUGUGGAAGAGGCCGAAGCGAGAGCAGCCCUGAUGGGUUUGCAUACGCUAGCCGCAGUGUACAAGGGCCCGGUUGAAGUGGAAAUGGACUGCAAAUCUGUAAUAAGGACUUAA